rnacentral:rRNA from 1 species
UACGUAGGUGGCAAGCGUUGUCCGGAAUCAUUGGGCGUAAAGAGCGUGUAGGCGGCCCGGUAAGUCCGCUGUGAAAGUCGGGGGCUCAACCCUCGAAUGCCGGUGGAUACUGUCGGGCUAGAGUGCGGAAGAGGCGAGUGGAAUUCCUGGUGUAGCGGUGAAAUGCGCAGAUAUCAGGAGGAACACCAAUUGCGAAGGCAGCUCGCUGGGACGUAACUGACGCUGAGACGCGAAAGCGUGGGGAGCAAACAGG